rnacentral:rRNA from 1 species
AUUGAACGCUGGCGGCAGGCCUAACACAUGCAAGUCGAGCGGAUGAACGGAGCUUGCUCCUGGAUUCAGCGGCGGACGGGUGAGUAAUGCCUAGGAAUCUGCCUGGUAGUGGGGGAUAACGUCCGGAAACGGGCGCUAAUACCGCAUACGUCCUGAGGGAGAAAGUGGGGGAUCUUCGGACCUCACGCUAUCAGAUGAGCCUAGGUCGGAUUAGCUAGUUGGUGGGGUAAAGGCCUACCAAGGCGACGAUCCGUAACUGGUCUGAGAGGAUGAUCAGUCACACUGGAACUGAGACACGGUCCAGACUCCUACGGGAGGCAGCAGUGGGGAAUAUUGGACAGUGGGCGAAAGCCUGAUCCAGCCAUGCCGCGUGUGUGAAGAAGGUCUUCGGAUUGUAAAGCACUUUAAGUUGGGAGGAAGGGCAGUAAGUUAAUACCUUGCUGUUUUGACGUUACCAACAGAAUAAGCACCGGCUAACUUCGUG